AUUGAACGCUGGCGGCAUGCUUUACACAUGCAAGUCGAACGGCAACGAGGAGAAGCUUGCUUCUCUGUCGGCGAGUGGCGAACGGGUGAGUAUAGCAUCGGAACGUGCCAAGUAGUGGGGGAUAACCAAACGAAAGUUUGGCUAAUACCGCGUAAGCUCCAAGGAGGAAAGUAGGGGACCUAAAUAAGGCCUUACGCUAUUUGCUCGGCCGAUGUCGGAUUAGCUAGUUGGUGGGGUAAUGGCUCACCAAGGCAAUGAUCCGUAGCGGGUCUGAGAGGACGAUCGGCCGCACUGGGAGUGAGACACGGCCCAGACUCCUACGGGAGGCAGCAGUGGGGAAUUUUGGACAAUGGGGGAAACCCUGGUCCAGCCAUGCCGCGUGUAUGAAGAAGGCCUUAGGGUUGUAAAGUACUUUUGUUAGGGAAGAAAAGCUUGUUUUUAAUAAAAAGUAGUGAUGACGGUACCGAAAGAAUAAGCACCGGCUAACUACGUG
rnacentral:rRNA from 1 species